UUUUUGCAGUUGCUGGACCUGAAUGAAACUUGGGAAGAAUGGAGUAAAGGUGUGAUGUAGAUCAAGACUGGAAGUGUUAUUAUGCAGUUGUUUAGAAUUAUGUUAUGGAGCUGGAGUGGAAGUGGAAGGAAGAUGGAAUAUAUGGUAAUGUAAAGGGAGCAGUUUGAAUUAUUUGGGAGAAUUCAUCUUACAUGCAAUCAAACUCAUACACACAACAACCUUAAUGAUUACCCUGUUCAGUAUAAGCACCAGCUUGGAUCCAAGCAUAUCUUGGAGCAUAGGGAGAAUGAAGGAGCAACUAGCAUGGAGACACAAUCUACAUUGAUGAUUACAACGGGGGCAACUAUGCGCUGGCAUGGACUGAAGCAGCCAAGGAAUCCAAGAACAGAUGGCCAUCAUACAUCACUCAGGCCCCAUCCAACCUGGAAUGAAAUUGAUUUUUCUUUGGAGGAACCAUAUGGUGGCAUGCUCAUAUUGAAUGGAUAAGAGCCACUAUCUAUGGUGCUAUGUUCUUACCAUCAUAACCUCACUCUUCUUGUGUUGAUGAUGUGUACACCAAGCCAUUGACAAGGUACUACAUCCGCAUAUCAACCGGACAAGCUAUGGAUGUAUUGUUGCAUGCCAACCAUGAACCUUUUCAUUUUUCUAGUUGCAAAGGCAUUCUUAAGUGGUGUUGGUGUAUACUGCAUUAUGCAGGAGCCUGUUGCAUAAUCUGCGGGAAGUAAACUUUAUCAAAUGCUAUGUUCUUUUUUGUUUUUGGCAGUAG
rnacentral:lncRNA from 1 species